rnacentral:tmRNA from 13 species
GGGGCUGUUAUGGAUUCGACAAUCAAGCCGAAACAAGGACAUUUGCUUACUUUUAAAGUAAGUCUUUUAGAAUAAAUGCUAAAUUUAGGACAAGUUCCACCGUAAUUACACUACGGUAUAAAUCGAUAUAUAAAUGCUUAUUAUUUUGUAGCAAAGAAGUCUUGAGGAAGCUAAAAAUGGACGUGGGUUCAAUUCCCACCGGCUCCACCA